rnacentral:rRNA from 1 species
GAUGAACGCUGACAGAAUGCUUAACACAUGCAAGUCAUUGGCGAAGCUGCGCUUGCGCAGUCUAGCCAAGGCGGACGGGUGAGUAACGCGUCAGGAACUUGCCCUGCAGACAGGGAUAACAGACGGAAACGACUGAUAACACCUGGUAUUGUCAGGCUGGCGCAUGCCGGCCUGAUGAAAGGAGACGCUGCAGGAGAGCCUUGCGUCCUAUUAGCUAGUUGGUGGGGUAACGGCCCACCAAGGCGAUGAUAGGUAGCCGGCCUGAGAGGGUGAACGGCCACAAGGGGACUGAGAUACGGCCCUUACUCCUACGGGAGGCAGCAGUGGGGAAUAUUGGACAAUGGGGGCAACCCUGAUCCAGCAAUUCUGUGUGCACGAAGAAGGUUUUCGGAUUGUAAAGUGCUUUCAGCAGGGAAGAAGAAAGUGACGGUACCUGCAGAAGAAGCGACGGCUAAAUACGUG